AUUUUGGACCCUUCAUGAAGCAAUGGGCGGUCGCGCACAUAUCACACAGGCCACGCGCUAUAUUUGGAACAAACUACGCGUGCCUGCGCUCGCGCAGUCCGUUAGUGUCAAACCAGACACCUUUACACCGCUUUUAACCAGACUCGUACAGCAAUAUCCUAAAAUAGGUGGUCUUCUCUUCACUGCGCUGUCGCUUUGUCUGUCCAUCGGUCGUACUGCGCUGAGAAGGAGCGUCGAGUCUUAAAUAUCCGACCUAACUGUUUAUCCUAUUAUAGCAAGAUUCACGAGCAUGCGCAGGAAGCGGGGAUGCGCUGCGCGCGGAGAAGCUCGACUGUAGUGCACACGCACAAAUGGACGCUGGCACGCAGGACGAUUGCCAUGAGGACUAUAUAAUGAACAGCUUAGACCAAGAUCCAAACGCAGAAGCUUAUAUGGACUUCAUGAAGAAACACUGUUGUUAUGAUGCAAUUCCCACCAGCUGCAAACUAGUCAUUUUUGACACCACACUGCAGGUAAAGAAGGCCUUCUUUGCUUUGGUUGCAAAUGGCCUGAGAGCGGCCCCUUUAUGGGACAACAAACUGCAGAGAUUUGUGGGUAUGCUGACGAUCACAGAUUUCAUCAAUAUUCUUCAUCGGUAUUACAGGUCACCCAUGGUUCAGAUCUAUGAAUUGGAGGAACACAAGAUUGAGACAUGGAGAGGUGAUUCAUUUCAAAACGUUUAUCUGCAAUAUCAAGAUCAAUGUCUCAUCAGUAUCACACCAGAUGCCAGCCUCUUUGAUGCUGUCUACUCUUUACUGAAACACAAAAUCCACAGGCUGCCAGUCAUCGACCCAGAGUCUGGAAAUGUCCUUCACAUACUGACCCAUAAGAGAAUCCUCAAGUUCCUGUAUAUAUUUGGAGCCUCAGUGCCCAAGCCAUGCUUCUUGAAGAUGCAAAUUAAAGAUGCAGGAAUAGGAACUUUCUCAGACGUGGCGACUGUCUCUCAGACGGCUACGGUGUACGAUGCACUUUCUGUGUUUGUUGAGCGACGUGUUUCCGCUCUCCCAGUGGUGGAUGACAGUGGCAAGGUGGUCGCCCUGUAUUCCAGAUUUGACGUGAUUAAUCUUGCAGCGCAGAAAACCUACAAUAACCUGAGCAUGAGCAUGCAGGAGGCCGUGCGGAGGAGACGAGGUUAUGUGGAAGGAGUCAUUAAAUGUUACCCUGACGAGACUUUGGAAACUGCUGUUGACAGAAUAGUCAAGGCUGAGGUUCAUAGGCUGGUGCUUGUGGACAGAGAAGACGUGGUUCAGGGAAUAAUCUCUCUCUCAGACCUGCUGCAGGCCAUAGUUUUAUCUCCAGCAGGUAUUGAUGCUCUGUUUUCCUAACCUGAGAGGAUAUGUUUCCUCCUGUUUCCUCAUCUAACCAGCACUAGUAUCCAGGUAUUCAUAACCAGUGAGCAAUAACUGAAAGCACUUAUAUGCCAUGCUGAUGAAUAGAGUUCUCCCUGCAUGUUUGUGCAUGUGCGUGACCUGUUUGUUGGAGAAUACACUGGUGGGUCAGGGACGUGACCCAGGACCCUUUGUUAUAGUCAUUUAACACCAGUGUGUUUGGGAGCACAGCCACUGAUGUGAUGAUAUUGUUGCUGAACCUCAGAGUACUGUAGGAUUACCAUGAUAUUAUCUUAUUCAGAAAACCAUGGUAAUACCAUGCUACUUUCUGUAAGUAUAUUCUCCUAUCCUGUUUUAGGGGUUAAAAGCAGAUAAAGUAUGACUGCAAGCAAGAAUGAAGAAAGGAUCUUUUUUUUUUUUUUUUUACAUUAUACAUUCAUAUUGUAAAAUAUGUUCAGUUUGGAUUACGUUAAGUGUAUAAUAUAUUAAGCAACAAGUUUCUCAUUUAACUAAGAGAUUGUAUGCGAUAAACAAGUACUGACAAAUGAAACUGUUGCAUUUAGUUUUCAUGUAUAAGUGAGCACAUGGGCUUGGAUUCUGAUCAAAUUGAUCACCUAGUUUGCCGUUUUGUGCUAUGUCAUGUAGUAUUGUCAGAUGAUCAUGUUUUGUUUUUCUAAUAAACAAAUCCUUGUGCUC